rnacentral:lncRNA from 1 species
AGCUUUUUUCUGUAGUAGUGGUUUUCAGAUCCUAUCUAUUAUUCUGUAUCAUUUUUUUUUAACAAUAGAUCUUCAAGCACUUAAAUUGAAGUGGAGAUUAAACCAAGGCCAUAAAGAUGAGGUGAGACCCAUGUCAUCAGAGAGACGACCUCCAAAUAAACCAACCUCAAAAGGUCAACAUCACUAGAAGGCUAAGAUCAUUAAAGGACCAAUCUGAGCAAGUCAAAGCUGGACUAUCAAGCAAAAAAACAAUAGCUAAAAUG